UGAGUGGUUGAAAGCGUCGGAUUGCUAAUCUGAUGUAUGAUUUUAAUCAUACCGAGAGUUCGAAUCUCUUCCUCUCC
rnacentral:tRNA from 11 species